GGGCUGAAAUGCGCCUUAAAAACCAUCGUUCAAAAGGCUGCACUGUGCCUUCAAUAUAGUGAUACAGUGUACCGCUGUUGUGUAAUUAAAAACAUUGAAUAAUUUGUGUGGUCUUAAAAUAAUUAUUAACUGAUAUUGUGGUCUAGUGAAAAGGUUCCAAAAAUGGGUACAAGUUUCCAUACUAUUGUCUUUCUGAUGUCACAGAUAUUAGGUAGCAUAUAGUAAGAUUAAGAAAUAGUUUAUGCAUGGUUAUAGUUUCUCACGUUUCGCGCACAAUAAAGCCAUGCAGGGUUAGGGAUGGGUUGUGAUUACG